rnacentral:rRNA from 1 species
GAUGAACGCUGGCGGCGUGCCUAAUACAUGCAAGUCGAGCGAACGGACGAGAAGCUUGCUUCUCUGAUGUUAGCGGCGGACGGGUGAGUAACACGUGGAUAACCUACCUAUAAGACUGGGAUAACUUCGGGAAACCGGAGCUAAUACCGGAUAAUAUUUUGAACCGCAUGGUUCAAAAGUGAAAGACGGUCUUGCUGUCACUUAUAGAUGGAUCCGCGCUGCAUUAGCUAGUUGGUAAGGUAACGGCUUACCAAGGCAACGAUGCAUAGCCGACCUGAGAGGGUGAUCGGCCAGACUGGAACUGAGACACGGUCCAGACUCCUACGGGAGGCAGCAGUAGGGAAUCUUCCGCAAUGGGCGAAAGCCUGACGGAGCAACGCCGCGGGAGUGAUGAAGGUCUUCGGAUCGUAAAACUCUGUUAUUAGGGAAGAACAUAUGUGUAAGUAACUGUGCACAUCUUGACGGUACCUAAGCAGAAAGCCACGGCUAACUACGUG